rnacentral:rRNA from 1 species
ACUCAAAGGAAUAGACGGGGGCCCGCACAAGCGGUGGAGUAUGUGGUUUAAUUCGAAGCGACGCGCAGAACCUUACCUACCCUUAACAUCCCAGGAAGCAAGCAGAGAUGUUUGUGUCUUUUCGGAGACCUGGAGAUAGGUGCUGCAUGGCUGUCGUCAGCUCGUGUCGUAAGAUGUCUGGUUAAGUCCAAUAACGAGCGCAACCCUUGCUGCCAGUUACCAUCAUUAAGUUGGGUACUCUGGCGGGACUGCCGGUGUUAAACCGGAGGAAGGCGGGGAUGACGUCAAGUCCUCAUGGCCCUUACGGGUAGGGCUACACACGUACUACAAUGGCAGAAACAGACCGUUUGCGAAGCCGCGAGGUGGAGCUAAUCGGUAAAACACUGUCUCAGUCCGGAUUGCAGUCUGCAACUCGACUGCAUGAAGCUGGAAUCGCUAGUAAUCGCUGAUCAGCAAGCAGCGGUGAAUACGUUCCCGGGCCUUGUACACACCGCCCGU